GAUGAACGCUGGCGGCGUGCCUAAUACAUGCAAGUAGAACGCUGAAGGAAGGAGCUUGCUCUUUCCGGAUGAGUUGCGAACGGGUGAGUAACGCGUAGGUAACCUGCCUGGUAGCGGGGGAUAACUAUUGGAAACGAUAGCUAAUACCGCAUAACAGUAGAUGUUGCAUGAUAUCUACUUAAAAGGUGCAAUUGCACCACUACCAGAUGGACCUGCGUUGUAUUAGCUAGUUGGUGAGGUAACGGCUCACCAAGGCGACGAUACAUAGCCGACCUGAGAGGGUGAUCGGCCACACUGGGACUGAGACACGGCCCAGACUCCUACGGGAGGCAGCAGUAGGGAAUCUUCGGCAAUGGACGGAAGUCUGGCCGAGCAACGCCGCGUGAGUGAAGAAGGUUUUCGGAUCGUAAAGCUCUGUUGUAAGAGAAGAACGAGUGUGAGAGUGGAAAGUUCACACUGUGACGGUAUCUUACCAGAAAGGGACGGCUAACUACGU
rnacentral:rRNA from 1 species